GGGAGCUCUGUUUGUCCAUCCUCAUUCUUUCCUUUGACUCCGAGCUGGGCUGGCUCUCUGGACUCACGGUCACAAUGCAAGCCCACGGAGGAAGACUGUUCCCAAGGGGUGAGCAGCACUGGAAGGUACCGGGAGAGAGCCACGCCUCGGGACAUGUCUCUGGAGCCCACCCCACCCUAAAUGGAACUGAGGUCGGUCAAUUCCCAGAUACACAGUGAGGAAAUGCUGAAGUGUCUGUAGCGGAAGUUCCACUGGCUGCUUCCUGCACCCCACCUUCCUCAUUGUGGCAAGAACAAAAGCUCCCCCGACAGUGGCUCUGCCACAUCCCAAGAGGCUCAGCCGAAAAAGCCCUCUUCCCGCCGCCCAACAGGUCUGUAACUCAUUAUAUGAAACCCUCGUGUGGACCGUUUUGCCUGUCCUGACCCCUGCAAGUCACACACAGGUAACCCCCACAGUGCUGGUCCUUCUCAGCCCUUUGCUCUUUCUUUCUCUCACUAAUUAUUUUUCCUUCUCAAGCCAGGGAUUGAACCUAGGUCCUCACACAUGCGAGGCAAGCUCUGUACCACUGAGCUACCGCCCCAGCCCACUAGUAAUUCUUUUAAUAAGUCUUUAUGGAAUGUCAACUGUGCGCCAAGCACUAUGUCAGAUCAUUUCAGGAGAAAAGUGCGGCGCCCAUUGAGUUCUGUCUGGUUGAGGGCUGGUUUUACCCAAUGCUGGCAAAAAUGAGCAGAGAGAGAAAGAGAGAGAGAGACCAGCUGACCCCGCAUGCUGAAGAUACCACCUCAAGGAAAGAGUUCACCAGCUCUGCUGUGCAUAACCGAAGCUCCCACUCAUGCUCCCGCAGUCUCCCAUGCGUGGUCAGUUGUGCUGGCCGUGGGCUCUGCAGGCAGCAUGGGUCAAGUCCCAAGUUCAGGGCUACGCAUUUUACGAGAAGACUCUUGGCUCCUUCUCGCCGCCUCUGGGGAUCAAGUCAUCAUCAUUAUGACUGUUGUUAUGUUCCCUGUUGUAUAGACAAGGAGAUGUAAAUUGGGAGAGAUUCGGGUAUUAGUAAUUGGGUAGAUGGUGAUGCCACUAACAAACAUGAAAGACUCAGGAGGAGGCACAGAAAAUGGGCAGAGGGUGACAAGC